CCUAAACCUAAAAAACUUUUCAGUUUUUCUAAAAACCUAAAGAGCAACAGAUUCACUUUGCCCCGCUCUGACGAUUCGUCACCUUCGAAGACCUCCGAUCUUUGCUUCAACUCUGAUGACUGCAGAGAGAGCAAAAAUCUGGCCUCCAGGUACAACCAGCCUGGAACAAUCUGAUGGAGGCGCACCCGUGUGGAGAAGAUGCACGCGCCUGGUGGUGAUGCACGCGCGAAGUCUGUGCUGGGCUCAUCUACGGCGCAGAAGCAGGAGUUCGCUGCUACACCAGAAAAAUCGAGAAACCCCUAGGGUUUCUGAAUUUGGACCGUUCGGGCCAUUAUAAUCGGGUUAUUUUUUGGGUAAAUAAUUUGGGCUAUGUAUUUGGGUAUGGUGGGUUGGGUUAGAUUUUGGGUCUGUAAAUUUACUGUUAUUGGACCUUUAAUUUUUUAUUUUUAUGUAUUUAUUUAUUUUUUCUUUUUGAAAUGUAUGUGGGCCUGGCUAAAAUGGCCUGCUACAGUGAGCAUUGUGGGAAGAAACAUUGGGGAAAAUAUUGGAAAUUAUCUAAUGCCUGUUUCCGAUGCGGAUCAUAGAAGAAUUUUACUCAUGAGUGCCCAAAAGGUGAUAAUAUUAUACCGACGACUACUCAGCGAUAUGAACCUUCAGUUAGUGGUCGUGGCACUAAUCAUGGUGGUUUUGUUUCUAGAGGAGGUGCAAGAAAUGGGAGUGAAGUUGUUGCUCAUCAAUCAGAGGCCAGAGCACUAGAUCGAGCAUAUGUUGUAUGGACUUAUAAGGAAGGCGAUGCUACCAAUGUUGUAGCAUGUAUCUUUUUAUUAUAUUCUGCGUUUGUUUAUGCUUUAGUAGACCGUAGAUCAUCACACUAUUAUAUUAAUGUUGAAUUGGUUAAA